AGUGAACGCUGGCGGCGUGCCUAACACAUGCAAGUCGAACGCGAAAGCCCCGCAAGGGGUGAGUAGAGUGGCAGACGGGUGAGUAAUAUAUAGGUAAUCUACCCUUGAGUGGGGGACAACAUUCCGAAAGGAGUGCUAAUCCCGCAUAAUAUCGUGUUGCUCAAGCGAUGCGAUCAAAGGGGGGGAUCCGCAAGGACCUCUCGCUUAAGGAUGAGCCUGUAUCCUAUUAGCUAGUUGGCGGGGUAAUGGCCCACCAAGGCGAUGAUGGGUAGCCGAGCUGAGAGGCUGAUCGGCCACACUGGAACUGAAACACGGUCCAGACUCCUACGGGAGGCAGCAGUGGGGAAUUUUGCGCAAUGGGCGAAAGCCUGACGCAGCGACGCCGCGUGAGGGAUGAAGGUCUUCGUGAUUGUAAACCUCUGUCAGGAAGGAUUAAAUGCAUGGGUGCCAACACCACCCGUGUUUGACUUAACUUCCAAAGGAAGCCCCGGCUAACUACGUG
rnacentral:rRNA from 1 species